UCAAGCUAAUAAGAGCGCAGGGAGGAUGCCUUGGCAUUGGGAGCCGACGAAGGACGUGGUAAGCUGCGAAAAGCUGCGGGGAAUUGCAAGCAAGUAUUGAUCCGCAGAUGUCCGAAUGGAGCAAUCCGUUAAGAGUAAUAUCUUAACAUCAUAUACUGAAUCAAUAGGUAUAUGAGGGGAACCGCCUGAACUGAAACAUCUAAGUAGGGCGAGGAAAAGAAAUCAACCGAGAUUCCGAAAGUAGUGGCGAGCGAAAUCGGAAGAGGCUAAACCGAACUCAGAAAUGAGAUCGGGGUUUAGGACUGCAUUUAGUAUUGAAAUGAGCGAGCAGAAUGCUUUGGGAAAAGCAGCCGAAGAACGUGAGAGCCGUGUAAGCGAAGUGAGUUUCAGCGAGCAGUAUCCAAAGUACCGCGGGGCACGUGAAAUCCCGUGGGAAGAUGGGGGGACCACCCUCCAAGCCUAAAUACUACCCAAUGACCGAUAGCGAAUAGUACUGUGAAGGAAAGGUGAAAAGCACCCCGGGAGGGGAGUGAAAAAGAACCUGAAACCCUGUGCUUACAAGCACUGAGAGCUCGUCAAAGAGUGAUCAGGUACCUAUUGUAGAAUGGUCCGGCGAGUUAUGAUAUGCAGCAAGGUUAAGUACUUAAGGUACGGAGCCGCAGCGAGAGCGAGUCUGAAUAGGGCGUAAAGUUGUAUGUCAUAGACCCGAAACCGAGUGACCUAGCCAUGUCCAGGCUGAAGUGGAGGUAAAACUCCAUGGAGGGCCGAACCGACCUCCGUUGAAAAGGCGGCGGAUGAGGUGUGGCUAGCGGAGAAAUUCCAAUCGAACUCGGAUAUAGCUGGUUCUCUCCGAAAUAGCUUUAGGGCUAGCGUUGCAACAGAUUACCGGAGGUAAAGCACUGAAUAGGCUAGGGGGCGAGAGCUUACUGAACCUUAUCAAACUAAGAAUGCCGGAUAAUUGAUUUGCAGCAGUCAGACAGUGUGAGAUAAGUUUCAUUGUCAAAAGGGAAACAGCCCAGACCCACAGCUAAGGUCCCAAAGUACAUUUGAGUGGAAAAGGAUGUGGGGUUGCAUAGACAACCGGGAUGUUGGCUUAGAAGCAGCCAUACAUUAAAAGAGUGCGUAAUAGCUCACCGGUCGAGUGACCCUGCGCCGAAAAUUCAACGGGGCUAAAAUGUACACCGAAGCUUGGGAUUGUACUUUGUACAGUGGUAGGAGAGCGUCGAAUACGGGGUGAAGUCAGAGCGGAAGCGCUGGUGGACUGUAUUCGAGUGAGAAUGCCGGAAUGAGUAGCGAGAAUUAUGUGAGAAUCAUAAUGGCCGAAAGUCUAAGGUUUUGGAAGGAAGGUUCGUCCGCUUCCAGUAAGCCGGGAGCUAAGGUGAGGCCGAAAGGCGUAGCCGAUGCACAUACGGUUGAAAUUCCGUAGCCUCCGAAGUAUUUAAACAGAAGGACACUUGAGAAGUGAUGUUGCCGGGCGAUGGUUGACCCGGUCGUAAGGGACCGAAAUUUAGUAGGGAAGUCAUCAUGGAUCGAGGCGAGAAAAGUUCUGUGAAUAUACAAGGAGCCCGUACCGCAAACCGACACAGGUAGAUAGGAAGAAAAUUCUAAGGCCAACGGGAGAAGGGUUGUUAAGGAACUCGGCAAGUUGACCCCGUAACUUCGGAAUAAGGGGUGCUCUCGAGAGAGAGCCGCAGAGAAUAGGCCCAGGCGACUGUUUAGCAAAAACACAGCUCUAUGCUAAAUCGAAAGAUGAUGUAUAUGGGGUGACACCUGCCCGGUGCCGGAAGGUUAAGAGGAGGCGUGAGAGCGCUGAAUUGAAGCCCCGGUAAACGGCGGCCGUAACUAUAACGGUCCUAAGGUAGCGAAAUUCCUUGUCAGGUAAGUUCU
rnacentral:rRNA from 1 species